UGGGGAAUAUUGCGCAAUGGGCGAAAGCCUGACGCAGCAACGCCGCGUGGGGGAUGAAGGCCUUCGGGUUGUAAACCCCUUUCAGCAGGGAAGAAGCGAGAGUGACGGUACCUGCAGAAGAAGCACCGGCUAACUACGUGCCAGCAGCCGCGGUAAUACGUAGGGUGCAAGCGUUGUCCGGAAUUAUUGGGCGUAAAGAGCUCGUAGGCGGUCUGUCGCGUCUGCUGUGAAAGUUCGGGGCUCAACCCCGGAACUGCAGUGGGUACGGGCAGACUAGAGUGCGGUAGAGGAGACUGGAAUUCCUGGUGUAGCGGUGGAAUGCGCAGAUAUCAGGAGGAACACCAGUGGCGAAGGCGACACCCUGGGUUGAUACCGACGCUGAGGUGCGAAAGCGUGGGGAGCAAACAGGAUUAGAUACCCCCGUAGUCC
rnacentral:rRNA from 1 species